UCUUGAGACAGCAGGAAGACCAUCCAUCUGCUAACACUGAGCCCGGCUGCCCAGAGUGACCAGGUUGUCCUGGGAGGACCACGCCUGUGCUGUGCUAUUCCUGCCUUGUGCCGAUUUCUGGGGUAUAAACACUUCUGGGAGGCUGAUUUCCCGCCGUCCAGUUGCUUCAGGCCAGAAGCAGAAGUCCUGUUUGCAGUUUUAUGGGUUUAUCCUGAAGGUCUCAGAAGCCGCAGAGGUGCCCAGUUACCUGUUGAUGGGUGUCUGAUCGUCCUCAGUUCACCCCCGAGCUGACCUUCGUGACGCACAGACUGGAGCUGCGUGGUGUGCAGCCUGGAGGCAGAGGCGGGGGCCUCUAGGGCAGGUGAGGAUGGGGCUGGCUCCUGGGUGGCCGUGUCCCCUAGCCCAGAAGGUGAAAAUCAGAAAGCGCCAAGAAUGGGCUCGUGUGGUCCAAAACCACAGGCCCUCUUGUUUCCCUGCCUGUCUUCCAUUUGCAACCAUCUGCAAAACCCCUCUGAAGACAAUGUCAGGGGUUUAUGUCUUGCUGCCCAGGAUCUGACAUCUUCUAAGGGAAUAAUCAGGGCCCAUCUGAGUGGGAGGAGGGAUCGAUUCUGCGUGCCGCACACCGCCUGCCUUGUUGUCAAGAGGAAAGAUCUACGGUGGUUUUAUUUAAGAUGCUGCUCCCUGUAGCCCCCGGAGAUGGGCUCUCGUCUGUGUUAUGCUAAAUCUUUAAUAGCUUUUGACUGUGAUAUAUGCCGGGAGGAUUCUUAUCAGGCUGGGGCCCAGGAUCUUCCUUGUCCUCUUAGGGGAGAAGGCGGAGGGCGGAGGCAGCUCCUUUGAGAGUGAUUCGCUGGCUUUUAUGUGCAGAGAUGGGCUCGCCGGUGCUGGAGGUGGAGGCCACGAGAGGGACCGGUGCGGCUCAGAGACUCUGAGCUGUCCUGCAGGGGCAGCACACUCGAGAGUCUGGACGCGACACCAUGUCUGGGCUCCAGACCCCAGACUCACUGCCGAGAGGUGGACCAGCCGCCUGGAAAGGCCCGGAGGUGCCGCUCAGGCUGCAGGAAGGUUCUGCCUCCUUCUGGAAUGACCCUGAGAGAAGUGAGGCCCUCUCCCUAGGAGCAAGGAGACAUGGGAAGAAAUGAACCUGUGGAUGGGGGGCCACCCCUCAACACUCAGGUUCACCUCCCACCAGCUCCUGUUUGUGCACCUUGAGCCAUGAGGUUAGGGCCCGGGGGAGUCAGAGGAAGCUUCAAGACCAUCUGACUGAGUUCUGGAGGGAGAACCCGGGCUGGAGUGGGCAUCUCUGCUGCCGGGGGGAGCGGCCCUGUGGGUCCCGCCCUUCAAGCUGGACGUUCACGCCUGAGGAUUCCUCCCUCGUCACUGGGGACGCCGUGGCCAGGCCAUCCCCCGUCAUCGUCACUGACACUGCAACCUCCAUAUGAAUGAUUUCCUGUCUGCUCCCUGCCCCGUGUGGUCACUCUGCCCUUUGCAAGUCCAGAGUCACGUGGAUGAGACACUCGGUGUCACAAGUGGAACAAAGGU